rnacentral:lncRNA from 1 species
GUUCAAGAAGGAACAGGGGAGAGCUCGGGUUGGGAGAGAAGAAAGAAAGAAGAAACAGAGCAUUGCUCUGUUCGUUUGGAGAAGAAAGAAAGAAAAAAAAGAGUAUUUUAUGUUGUUCCACCGUGGGAGAGAAAGGGAGAUGUUUUCUGUUUUUUAUUUUUGUUAUUUCUUUCCUUUAUUUUAAUUGCAGAAGAAAGGUAGCAUCAAGCUACCAAUAUUCAUUUCUACCAUUGUAAUCAAUUUAGUUUUCUAAAUCUAUCAUAUUUUUUUUUAUGCAAUCCUUGUUCUAGGUUCAAGUUAAUUUCUAUUUUUUUUAAUGCAAUCUUUUAAUUCUUCUUUGAUGCAAUACAUUAAAUCCUCCUUUAUGCAAUUUGUGUAGGCUUCAAUCUCCCUAAGCACUAUUUUCAUCCAUUUUAAUUUAUGCAAAAAUUCUCCUUUGAAUAGUUAAACAUUUCAUG